UACGGAGGGUGCAAGCGUUGUCCGGAUUUAUUGGGUUUAAAGGGCACGUAGGCGGGCCUUUCAGUCCGUGGUGAAAGCCCGCAGCUUAACUGUGGAAUUGCCAUGGAUACUGGAGGUCUUGAAUUCAGUUGAGGUUGGCGGAAUUCAUGGUGUAGCGGUGAAAUGCAUAGAUACCAGAAAGAACACCUAUUGCGAAGGCAGCUAACUGGACUGGAAUUGACGCUGAGGUGCGAAAGCGUGGGGAGCGAACAGG
rnacentral:rRNA from 1 species